GUAGUCUCCGGCCGUGCGGCCUCGGGGCCCGGCUCUCAGCGCCCUCCAGCAGAGCCCCGCGGCCAGCCUCGGGCCGCAAUGGACAUGACACCCCACGAAGCCGAAGGAGUCCUCCCGGGGAGAUGAGCCCGGCCUCGGCCCCUCCUUCGGACGCGGCGUAGCGGGCGCCCGGGGCGGGGGGAAGCGCUCCUCACAGACCCUGUGGGGGCCGCGGCCCAGGAUGGGUUGGACUGCAACGGACGCGAUUAGCAACGCGAAAAAUAGGAGCUGCGUGCAUGACUGUGACUGCCCGGAGCCGCGAACGCAGCCUGGACCUUAUCCCUGAGGCAGGACGGCCCCUCGGACCCCCCGACCGAGAUGACUCCUGGGAUGUUUUCCAACACCAACAGCCAGUUCUCUGAUUCUCUGGCCACCAACUGGAUAUUCAACAAUUCAGUUCAAUUCUGAUACUACCUGGAGUUAGGGCAGAUUCCACAGCUGAAGGGCUCAAAACUGCCCCACCCACCAACUUCAGAUGCCAGUUGCAAGUCCCAGGACUCCCAUACUUCUGACCAAUGUAAACCAAAAAUAAAAUUCUUUUUUUUUUUUUUGAGACAGAGUCUCACUCUGUGCCCAGGCUGGAGUGCAGUGGCAUGAUUUUGGCUCACUGCAACCUCCACCUCCCAGGUUCAAGCAAUUCUCCUGCCUUAGCCUCCUGAGUAGCUGGGACUACAGGCAGCCACCACUCCCAGCUGCUGAUUUUUAUAUUUUUAGUACAGACGGGGUUUCACCAUGUUGACCAGGCUAGUCUCCAACUCUUGACCUCAGGUGAUCCACCCGCUUCAGCCUCCCAAAGUGCUGGGAUUAACAGGCAUAAGCCACUGCACCCAGCCGAGACCAAGGUUCUUCUUAUGGAGAUGAAGCCUCCA
rnacentral:lncRNA from 1 species